rnacentral:rRNA from 2 species
AAAUUGAAGAGUUUGAUCAUGGCUCAGAUUGAACGCUGGCGGCAGGCCUAACACAUGCAAGUCGAGCGGUAGCACAGAGAGCUUGCUCUCGGGUGACGAGCGGCGGACGGGUGAGUAAUGUCUGGGAAACUGCCUGAUGGAGGGGGAUAACUACUGGAAACGGUAGCUAAUACCGCAUAACGUCGCAAGACCAAAGUGGGGGACCUUCGGGCCUCAUGCCAUCAGAUGUGCCCAGAUGGGAUUAGCUAGUAGGUGGGGUAACGGCUCACCUAGGCGACGAUCCCUAGCUGGUCUGAGAGGAUGACCAGCCACACUGGAACUGAGACACGGUCCAGACUCCUACGGGAGGCAGCAGUGGGGAAUAUUGCACAAUGGGCGCAAGCCUGAUGCAGCCAUGCCGCGUGUGUGAAGAAGGCCUUCGGGUUGUAAAGCACUUUCAGCGGGGAGGAAGGCGUUAAGGUUAAUAACCUCAUCGAUUGACGUUACCCGCAGAAGAAGCACCGGCUAACUCCGUGCCAGCAGCCGCGGUAAUACGGAGGGUGCAAGCGUUAAUCGGAAUUACUGGGCGUAAAGCGCACGCAGGCGGUCUGUCAAGUCGGAUGUGAAAUCCCCGGGCUCAACCUGGGAACUGCAUUCGAAACUGGCAGGCUAGAGUCUUGUAGAGGGGGGUAGAAUUCCAGGUGUAGCGGUGAAAUGCGUAGAGAUCUGGAGGAAUACCGGUGGCGAAGGCGGCCCCCUGGACAAAGACUGACGCUCAGGUGCGAAAGCGUGGGGAGCAAACAGGAUUAGAUACCCUGGUAGUCCACGCCGUAAACGAUGUCGAUUUGGAGGUUGUGCCCUUGAGGCGUGGCUUCCGGAGCUAACGCGUUAAAUCGACCGCCUGGGGAGUACGGCCGCAAGGUUAAAACUCAAAUGAAUUGACGGGGGCCCGCACAAGCGGUGGAGCAUGUGGUUUAAUUCGAUGCAACGCGAAGAACCUUACCUGGUCUUGACAUCCACAGAACUUUCCAGAGAUGGAUUGGUGCCUUCGGGAACUGUGAGACAGGUGCUGCAUGGCUGUCGUCAGCUCGUGUUGUGAAAUGUUGGGUUAAGUCCCGCAACGAGCGCAACCCUUAUCCUUUGUUGCCAGCGGUUAGGCCGGGAACUCAAAGGAGACUGCCAGUGAUAAACUGGAGGAAGGUGGGGAUGACGUCAAGUCAUCAUGGCCCUUACGACCAGGGCUACACACGUGCUACAAUGGCAUAUACAAAGAGAAGCGACCUCGCGAGAGCAAGCGGACCUCAUAAAGUAUGUCGUAGUCCGGAUUGGAGUCUGCAACUCGACUCCAUGAAGUCGGAAUCGCUAGUAAUCGUAGAUCAGAAUGCUACGGUGAAUACGUUCCCGGGCCUUGUACACACCGCCCGUCACACCAUGGGAGUGGGUUGCAAAAGAAGUAGGUAGCUUAACCUUCGGGAGGGCGCUUACCACUUUGUGAUUCAUGACUGGGGUGAAGUCGUAACAAGGUAACCGUAGGGGAACCUGCGGUUGGAUCACCUCCUUA